AUCAACUACGGCACGUUUUUCCCGGCUACAGGAAAUCUGACGUACGACGUGCGGCGGAGUGUGAAGCAGCAGUUACUACCAGACGAGUUCAACUGAUUGUGAGACAUGACCUCAUACACAUACGACGUUGAGAAAGUGAUUCAGGCUGUGAUCGACCAUGGCCAGAGCCAAUAUUAUGAUAUCGCACAACAGUUGGGAAUGACGCCUGCUAAAAUUGAGUCAACCAUCGACCGUAUACCUGGAAAUGCAGGAAAACUGAAAGUUCUCAUUGACAAGAGGAGAGCAGCCAUAGACGAUGAAACUUUAAUUAGAGAGCUACUUGAUGCUUGCGACAAAAUACAAGAUCCUAUUGGAGGAGCCGUCAGGAGACAACUGGGUGUACAAGCAAACCGACCUGCUGCUGCUGCUGCUGCUGCUGUUUCUGCUGCUAGUACAGAUAUAUAAUGCUUGAAAUUCAGUGAUCGGUACAGUAACGCAUAGGUUACUAGUUGGCCAUUUUAUAUAUUUUUAGGUGGAUUUGAUAUGACUGACGGACAUUCUAAACCAUCAGAUGCUAGACCAUUAGGUAUAUGAUCACAUGUACUAGUGAUUGUCUGCAGA